rnacentral:rRNA from 1 species
AGAGUUUGAUCAUGGCUCAGAUUGAACGCUGGCGGCAGGCCUAACACAUGCAAGUCGAGCGGAUGAAGGGAGCUUGCUCCUGGAUUCAGCGGCGGACGGGUGAGUAAUGCCUAGGAAUCUGCCUGGUAGUGGGGGAUAACGUCCGGAAACGGGCGCUAAUACCGCAUACGUCCUGAGGGAGAAAGUGGGGGAUCUUCGGACCUCACGCUAUCAGAUGAGCCUAGGUCGGAUUAGCUAGUUGGUGGGGUAAAGGCCUACCAAGGCGACGAUCCGUAACUGGUCUGAGAGGAUGAUCAGUCACACUGGAACUGAGACACGGUCCAGACUCCUACGGGAGGCAGCAGUGGGGAAUAUUGGACAAUGGGCGAAAGCCUGAUCCAGCCAUGCCGCGUGUGUGAAGAAGGUCUUCGGAUUGUAAAGCACUUUAAGUUGGGAGGAAGGGCAGUAAGUUAAUACCUUGCUGUUUUGACGUUACCAACAGAAUAAGCACCGGCUAACUUCGUGCCAGCAGCCGCGGUAAUACGAAGGGUGCAAGCGUUAAUCGGAAUUACUGGGCGUAAAGCGCGCGUAGGUGGUUCAGCAAGUUGGAUGUGAAAUCCCCGGGCUCAACCUGGGAACUGCAUCCAAAACUACUGAGCUAGAGUACGGUAGAGGGUGGUGGAAUUUCCUGUGUAGCGGUGAAAUGCGUAGAUAUAGGAAGGAACACCAGUGGCGAAGGCGACCACCUGGACUGAUACUGACACUGAGGUGCGAAAGCGUGGGGAGCAAACAGGAUGAGAUACCCUGGUAGUCCACGCCGUAAACGAUGUCGACUAGCCGUUGGGAUCCUUGAGAUCUUAGUGGCGCAGCUAACGCGAUAAGUCGGCCGCCUGGGGAGUACGGCCGCAAGGUUAAAACUCAAAUGAAUUGACGGGGGCCCGCACAAGCGGUGGAGCAUGUGGUUUAAUUCGAAGCAACGCGAAGAACCUUACCUGGCCUUGACAUGCUGAGAACUUUCCAGAGAUGGAUUGGUGCCUUCGGGAACUCAGACACAGGUGCUGCAUGGCUGUCGUCAGCUCGUGUCGUGAGAUGUUGGGUUAAGUCCCGUAACGAGCGCAACCCUUGUCCUUAGUUACCAGCACCUCGGGUGGGCACUCUAAGGAGACUGCCGGUGACAAACCGGAGGAAGGUGGGGAUGACGUCAAGUCGUCAUGGCCCUUACGGCCAGGGCUACACACGUGCUACAAUGGUCGGUACAAAGGGUUGCCAAGCCGCGAGGUGGAGCUAAUCCCAUAAAACCGAUCGUAGUCCGGAUCGCAGUCUGCAACUCGACUGCGUGAAGUCGGAAUCGCUAGUAAUCGUGAAUCAGAAUGUCACGGUGAAUACGUUCCCGGGCCUUGUACACACCGCCCGUCACACCAUGGGAGUGGGUUGCUCCAGAAGUAGCUAGUCUAACCGCAAGGGGGACGGUUACCACGGAGUGAUUCAUGACUGGGGUGAAG